UGUUUAUUCGAGAAGGCAACAAAGAGGUAUGGCAGGACUGCUUUGUUGCACAUGUUCGAAAGUUGCGUCUUACCUGCUUUAAAUAUAGUAGUUGAGACUUCUGGGGGCAUGCCGUUUCAUCUUGAGCUUUCUUAACUAACAGAGAAAUGAAAUAACUUAUCAAAGCCUUUUUGUACGGUUUUUCUUUUCACUUCAAAAACAUUUUCGCAAAUUGGAACUUCAUAGCCAGUUUCCAAAUUCAAAGAAAUCACCUACCAUGGCCUUGUUCCUUUUCUUAAACUUCUCAUUCUGCAUCAGCCAAACUCCCAGCCAUUUCAAUGUCAAGCUCGUUGAGCAACUUGAAAUCACAAUUCAUAGCAAAUAUAUGAACAACUAACCAUGCUUUAUAUUUUUGAUAGGUGUUCUAAAACUAGAAGCAUUUCCUUAGUUCAAAUCCUGUACCAUGUAUAUACAUGCUACCCUCUUUUGAUGUACUUCAACAAGCUUAUCAACAAAUAUAUACCAGAUGCUACAUCGGCAUGUUAUUAUUUUGUUAGUGUAGUCACAUGAACUUCAUAUGAUUUAGCUGCAUUGUCAUAUAUUUAUUCACAAGAUCUGCUCGUCUAUAUCUGUCAAGACUGGAAACCUUGAGACGGUGAUCAAACAUUUGGUUGAAGGAAUCAGCAAACAGAUGUUUUCGAGGUACACCUAUGAUCUACGUGUCAACUCUCAAAUGUCUAGUACUGCAAAACUGUUGUAUGGCCAUGAUGGUGCUUUAUUUAUUUUUCUGUCUUUUGUGUAUACAGACCAAUACUUCGUUCUUAUUUUCAGAUACUUACAAUCUUGCAUGUUAUUGCUGGCAUGAGUUUUGUAUGUCCACGACUGUUGUGAUACUGUUAAUAUGAUGCAGAUUUGUGUUCUUGUGUAUGCUGCAAUAUUUUUGAUAUUUUAGAGAAGUGCUAAAUUUGUGACCAUUAUUUUCAGCAUCAUGUUGUGAGCUCUGAUGUUCCUCUCAAGACUUGGAUCGGCAACCUGAUGCAAGUGCUCAAGGGAUAUCUGGAGCAUGUACUUGUCAAGGCGAUGUGAUGCAUGUGUAGUUAAUUACCAUGUUGAUUGGAAGUGUUUCGAUCUAGCAACAGUAGCUGAUAUGUGGCCUUGUCUAUAGUAGGUUGUAGAUUAAACUUGCAGUGUUUAGACCAUUUUGCAACUUAAGCUAGCUUUUUUGGAUCGAUGGGUGGUAUGAAUAUGUUGUAUGAUGAUGAAUAUUCGGUCAUCUAUGAAUUAUUUGAAUUAUGGCUGAUAUAUAUCCAAAUUUGGUGUAUUGUUGCUUUGGUUGCGAUUGUUUGUUGCAGCCUGUUUCUAGUAUUAAUAAAUGGUUGAUAUGAAUCCAAAUAUAUAUUU
rnacentral:lncRNA from 1 species